rnacentral:rRNA from 1 species
GAUCCUGCCGGACCUGACUGCUAUCGGAUUGAUACUAAGCCAUGCGAGUCUUUGCAGUAAUGCAAGGCAUACGGCUCAGUAACACGUAGUCAACUUACCCUAUGGACGAGGAUAAUCUCGGGAAACUGAGCAUAAUACUCGAUAGAUCAUAAUGCCUGGAAUGGUUUAUGGUUGAAAUGAUUCGUCGCCGUAGGAUGGGACUGCGGCCUAUCAGCUUGUUGGUGAGGUAAUGGCCCACCAAGGCGAUUACAGGUACGGGCUCUGAGAGGAGAAGCCCGGAGAUGGGUACUGAGACAAGGACCCAGGCCCUAUGGGGCGCAGCAGGCGAGAAAACUUUGCAAUGUGCGAAAGCACGACAAGGUUAAUCCGAGUGAUUUCUGCUAAAGAAAUCUUUUGCAAGUCAUAAAACCACUAGUGAAUAAGGGGUGGGCAAGUUCUGGUGUCAGCCGCCGCGGUAAAACCAGCACCUCAAGUGGUCAGGAGGAUUAUUGGGCCUAAAGCAUCCGUAGCCGGCUCUGUAAGUUUUCGGUUAAAUCCAUGUGCUCAACACAUGGGCUGCCGAAAAUACUGCAUAGCUAGGGAGUGGGAGAGGUAGACGGUACUCGGUAGGAAGGGGUAAAAUCCUUUGAUCUAUCGAUGACCACCUGUGGCGAGGGCGGUCUACCAGAACACGUUCGACGGUGAGGGAUGAAAGCUGGGGGAGCAAACCGGAUUAGAUACCCGGGUAGUCCCAGCUGUAAACGAUGCAGACUCGAUGAUGCAUUGGCAUAUAGCCAGUGCAGUGUCGCAGGGAAGCCGUUAAGUCUGCCGCCUGGGAAGUACGUACGCAAGUAUGAAACUUAAAGGAAUUGGCGGGGGAGCACCACAAGGGGUGAAGCCUGCGGUUCAAUUGGAUCAACGCCGGG